ensembl:lncRNA
GUUUGAUUUACAAUUUGUGAUUUAAAUUUAUUCUUUCAUUGGGAAUUUUACAAAUACAGUAAUGAAUGAAAACAUGUCAAAUUAAAUGAGGUUUUAACUAUAAACGCUGAAAACCUUUUAACCUCACAUUUUUAACAUUCACACAAAGUCCUGCUACGUUUUUGUUCUCAUUCCAGGACUUCAGUGUCUAUCCUGCUCAGAUUCAUCUUGUUCCAGUCCAGAGUCAGUGACUUGUUCUUCAGAGACUAUGUGUAUAACAGCUUCCAUUAAAGAUCUUUCAUCAGGAGAGGAGAGUUUUUUCAGAGGAUGUGCUCCUCCCACACUGUGUCCACACAACGGCACCUUUAAGUUUUCUACUGAUGUGGUGGAGUCACAUAAAAUCAUAGAUGCUGAAUGCUGCGACACAAACAACUGUAACUCAGAAACUCUGACUGUUCCUGUUCAACAGGCAGAAAACGGCCUUGACUGUUUCUUCUGUAUCUCUGUCUCCAACUCUUGCUCGUUUACUGUCCAUUGUGAAGGAGCACAGGACCGCUGCUUUGAUGGAUAUGUCUCAACUGAUACUGGAGUUCAACCUGUUGCUGGCUGCACAUCAACAGAUGUGUGUGAAAUUGCUCCUGAUCACGGUGUACUGCCAUUUAUGGAAGGAGUGGGAAAUCUAACCAGUGGACCAACCUGUUGUGGAACAAACCAUUGCAAUGAUUUCACAGAACCAACAACAGCAGGACCAACUACAACUCCUAUGAGUACAACAGUUCCAGGACUUCAGUGUCUAUCCUGCUCAGGAUCAUCUUGUUCCAGUCCAGUGUCAGUGACUUGUUCUUCAGAGACUAUGUGUGUAACAGCUUCCAUUAAAGAUCUUUCAUCAGGAGAUGAGAGUUUUUUCAGAGGAUGUGCUCCUCCCACACUGUGUCCACACAACGGCACCUUUAAGUUUUCUACUGAUGUGGUGGAUUCAUAUAAAAUCAUAGAUGCUGAAUGCUGCGACACAAACAACUGUAACUCAGAAACUCUGACUGUUCCUGUUCAACAGGCAGAAAACGGCCUUGACUGUUUCUUCUGUAUCUCUGUCUCCAACUCUUGCUCAUUUACUGUCCAUUGUGAAGGAGCACAGGACCGCUGCUUUGAUGGAUAUGUCUCAACUGAUAAUGGAGUUCAACCUGUUGCUGGCUGCACAUCAACAGAUGUGUGUGAAAUUGCUCCUGAUCACGGUGUACUGCCAUUUAUGGAAGGAGUGGGAAAUCUAACCAGUGGACCAACCUGUUGUGGAACAAACCACUGCAAUGAUUUCACAGAACCAACAACAGCAGGACCAACUACAACUCCUAUUAUUACAACAGUUCCAAGACUUCAGUGUCUAUCCUGCUCAGGAUCAUCUUGUUCCAGUCCAGUGUCAGUGACUUGUUCUUCAGAGACUAUGUGUGUAACAGCUUCCAUUAAAGAUGUUUCAUCUGGAGAUGAGAGUUUUUUCAAAGGAUGUGCUCCUCCCACACUGUGUCCACACAACGGCACCUUUAACUUUUCUACUGAUGUGGUGGAUUCAUAUAAAAUCAUAGAUGCUGAAUGCUGCGACAUAAACAACUGCAACUCAGAAAAUCUCCCUGUUCCUGUUCAACAGGCAGAAAACGGCAUUGACUGUUUCUUCUGCAUCUCUGGCACCGACCUUUGUAUGUUUACCGUCCAUUGUGAUGGAGGACAGGACCGCUGCUUUAAUGCACAUGUCUCAACUGAUACUGGAGUUCAACCUGUUGCUGGCUGCACAUCAACAGAUGUGUGUGAAAUUGCUCCUGAUCACGGUGUACUGCCAUUUAUGGAAGGAGUGGGAAAUCUAACCAGUGGACCAACCUGUUGUGAAGCAAACUACUGUAACAAUGUUUAGGCAGCAAAAACUACCACUCGCUAACACCAGUAACUGUUCUGCUACUCUGGAAUGUAGAAGAACGAAGGCCAACUGUUUAUAGUUAACUGUUGAAAAAAAUGUUAACUGCAUUUUUACUUGGAACUGUAAUCAAAGUCUAAAAAACUGUUUUCCCAUAGAAACAACUUCACAUUUAAUGUAUUAACUUUAUAUUGUUGACUAAACUUUCUUGUAAUUAAUUAUUAGUAUUUUAUUAACAAUUAAUAUGUGUAGUGGGUGAAAUGUCAUUUUAAAUGUACAUUAUAAGUUAUUAAAUUGUACUCCUCUUGAAUUCCUGCAUUUUACAAUUCCAACAAUAAUAAUAAUAAUGCUGCUUUACUCUAUGGACAGCUGUGGUACAAAGGGACAGCAAAAACAGGAUAUAUGUGUCAAUCUAAGUAAGUCACUUAUCUGGGAAAAACAAAAUAAAGAUUUACUCUAACUGUAAUGUAAUAUUCUC